rnacentral:rRNA from 1 species
UGCCAGCCGCCGCGGUAAUACGGAGGGGGUUAGCGUUGUUCGGAAUUACUGGGCGUAAAGCGCACGUAGGCGGACUGUUAAGUUAGAGGUGAAAUCCCGGGGCUCAACCCCGGAACUGCCUUUAAUACUGGCAGUCUAGAGUUCGAGAGAGGUGAGUGGAAUUCCGAGUGUAGAGGUGAAAUUCGUAGAUAUUCGGAGGAACACCAGUGGCGAAGGCGGCUCACUGGCUCGAUACUGACGCUGAGGUGCGAAAGUGUGGGGAGCAAACAGGAUUAGAUA